CUUACCGUGAAAAUGCUUACUUACAAGCCCUUAACCAACAAUGCAGUUCAAGAAAUAUAGUUAAGAAAAUAAUUGCUAAAUAAACUAAAGUUUAAAAAAAUCGAAUCAAAAAGUAAUAGAAGAAAAUGACAUAACAAUAAGGAGGAUAUAUACAGAAGGUACCGAGUCAAUGUGAGGGGGUACAGGUUAGUCGAGGUCAUUUGUAAAGUGACUAUGCAUAGAUAAUAAACAGUGAGUAGCAACAGUGUAAAAACCAACGGGGAAAUAGUCUGGGUGGCCAUUUGAUUAAUUGUUCAGCAGUCUUAUGGCUUGGGGGUAGAAGCCUUUUGGUCCUAGACUUGGCGCUCUGGUACCGCUUGCCAUGUCUGACUUGGGUGACUGAAGUCUCUGACAAUUUUUUUGGGCCUUCCUCUGGCACCGCCUAGUAUAUAGGUCCUGGAUGUCAGGAAGCUUGGCCCCGGUGAUGUACUGAGCCAUACGCACUACCCUCUGUAGCGCCUUAUGGUCAGAUGCCGAGCAGUUGCCAUACCAGGCGGUGAUGCAACCAGUCAGGAUGCUCUCGAUGGUGCAGCUGUAGUACCUUUUGAGGAUCUGGGGACCCAUGCCAAAUCUUUCCAGUCUCCUGAGGGGGAAAAGGUGUUGUCGUGCCCUCUUAAAAUGUUGUGCUGGUCCAAAGAUUUUAAAUGGAAAACAAAGUAUGUUUGUAGUUAAGCUGAAAGUAUGAGGAAUAUAAUGUAUGUGGUACAGGUUAUAUUAUGGCUUUGAUUUAAUAAAAGAGGUUGACUGGCAUGUACUGUAUUGCACAGGAAAUGGCUCUAUUCCCACCCUCAUGGUUCGAGCACUAACAUGCUAACCGGGUUACCUAAUAAUGCUUAACUUAGAACAACAUUAAAUUACUAUUGUGAUGGGAAGCAUUUAUCGAAGGCUACAUGAGGUACACUAUGUAUUGGUAGAGAGCAUGACACAGCCACCUCAGACAUCCCAUCUCCACUCCUCUGCAAAUGAUUUCACAACUAGAAAUCCUCUGAUCAUACAGCUGGUAAGAAGGGUGAAGCUGAAUGGUAUCUUCUUCUUUUUCUAUUGUAUCAUGUAUUUAGGUCAAUUUUAAGCAAAUCAAUACAUUGCAGUUAAGCAACAUGUGGGUAAAGAAAAAUGGGAACAUUGCAGUUAUCAUCUUUGAUCGUUUAAGACAUUUUGCAAUGUAAUAUAUAUUGGGAAACCAGGUAGAUCAGAGGAUGUUUGGCUUUAGCCUGAAUUCUGGACAUCUAAACCACUACUGACAUUGAAACAACUCCAAUAGAAUGUUUGCCAACACUGGCUUCUGGUUUCAGCUUAAACGUUUCUUCAUGUAAAAAUGUUAAUUGAUAAUAUCCUGUGUACGGUGAUGUAAAGUAUGGAUUUCCCCUGAAGUAUAAAUGACGGCACUUAUUUCUUUGAAACCCUCCUAGUGAAGACAACAUAGUCAUAUACUCCUAGACUCAACUGCCCCACAAGUCCUCAAAGUUAGUGCUACAACAACAAACAGAGCUUUGUCGUUUAUAUUGCUGGGAGCAGUUGAGUGUAGAAAUCACCAGCAUUAGAGAAAUACUAGGUCAAUAUGGAGUAAUUGUGUUAUAUGAAGGCAUAUGGUUAGGACACCACACACUCUGUCCUGGGAGGGAUGUCUCAAAGCAGACUAACUGUAUAAAAAAACAUCUACAGCCAUCUGCUGCUGCUCCACCUCCUCGUGCAUCUGUCACAGGACACUGUUGUUUCCUCUGUACUCCUUCAUCAUCUAAUCUCUCCAUCCUAUCCACCUGCCCCUAAUGACUGACUUUUCUAAAUAACACCUACAAAGCUCCCACAUUCAAAUAAUGCAGUUAUCUUUUUUUUUUGCAUCCUGUUAAGAUUUUUGAAACCAUUCCAAUUGGCUUGGAAUAGAUUUAUCAGAUUUUUCUACUGUCCCUUCAUCGUAAUAUUCUUCAUCGUCAUCCUCAUUGUGAUUAUUCAUAAGACUGCACCCUCUUUCUCUAUUCUACUGCUGCUGAUAAUAACACUGCUUCAAAGACUGUCUCAAUCCGUGGGUGUAAAUCCUCUAAGACUGUGCCAAUAUCAAUGGAAGUGUGGUUGAGAUGGCGGCAUCCAAUUUUGUCGAGCAAAAGUCAAGUGGAGCUGAGGGCAUAUUAGAGUUUAUACUAGUUGCGGAACAAUAUUUAAUUUUUUCGGUCGUGGGAUGGAGAAAGGUUUUUGGUUCACAGUUCAACAUAGCCUGGAAGGCUAAAGUGUUCUACAGUAUAUUCUGAAGUUAUUAUUUUUGAGGAAGAAAUCCAUUGGGUGGGAAAUGAGUGCAGCAAAAAAGACUUGGUUGGAUGAAUGGCACAUUUCCAGGAACAAAUGGCUUUAUACUGUAUAUAUGCUACCAGAUUUUAAAGAAAGAAUUUAGGUCACCUUUUUAAUGCUAGAAUCCUUAGUUGAAACAAAAACAAAAUAGUCAACCCAACUCUUUUUUUGGUAAAAGCUGAGGGAUGGCCCUGGAGAAAUGUUACCACUCUCAAAUAUAUAGACAGAGCUAUGGAUGCAAGAACUGACCAUCCAUGAUAUCAAAAUGUAAAUUUUAACCAUAUUUUGAAGCUACAGUAUACAGUGUUUGUUUACAUUGAUGUUGUUUACAAACAUUGGAGCAAAAAAAAAAAGGUUAUAUUUGGGGUUCUGAUCGGGUAUGACAGUGGAAUUAAGCACCUGAGGUAUUUAAAAGUUAUAUUCUUCAAGAAUCAAUGGGUAUAUAUCAAUAAUUCAUAAGUCCAAAAAUGUAUGUAGUAACUAAUGAUUCUAGCUUUAACAAGAGCCUUGCGCUUCUGUUGUUGAGUACAGUAUAAUGGAUGGGAGUGUUUCACAAUUAGAUUUAGUGUUUCAAGUGUUGGUGUCUGUAAUGAUAAAAGAUACAGAUAAGUGACAUUUCUUUCUUCUUUUUUUCAGUUAUCAAAAUGGGUUAAAGGGUUGUCCUGUUGUGAAGUGAAUAUCUGUUUUUAUGGAACGCUGCCAGAGUUGUUUAGUUACCAGAAGGUUACAGACCUAUUAUACCCAUAACUCAACCAAACACAUGGACAUAAAUAGUACAGGCAUGUCCAGUAGAUUACGGGUAGUCAUGGCAGAGAGUAAAUUACAUGACUAGAGUUUUAAGAAGAGUUGUUUACAGUAGAUAAAUAGUUGCUUUUUGCAUUGCCAGUUUGCAUGGAGAUAAAUGGAGAUCAAAUUGACUGAAAAGGUUGCAUUUCAAUUCUCAUUCAUAUUCAUGUAAUUGUUUUUUCUUCCGAAUGUUUUAUAUGUAAACUUCAGGUUUAUAUGAGAUGCAUCAGUGCAAUCAAAUCGCAAUAAUGAGCUUGAGGUUUAUCAGUAUAAUUUUUCAGGCACUGUUGUUCUGCUUAGCAUUCUGACAACUUCAAAAUGGGCCUUGAUCUACUGAGAAUAUAUUACUUGUUUUUUAUUUUCUUUACUUUCACAAAAUCUGAAUCGCUGUGUCAUUUCAUUGAUUGGCAAAUAGAUUAGGUUAAACAGCUUGGCUAGACUGUCUUCUUGCAAGUUCUGUAUCUGAGGCCUCCUGUUUUUUUUUUUCAUGAGUAUAGUUGAGCUGGUGUAUUUUUGAC
ensembl:lncRNA